rnacentral:misc_RNA from 1 species
GUGGUAAGUAGUAUGUUUGUGAAAGAAAAUAACUAUAAAUUCCAAGAAGAAGAAUGAAAAAAAUUACUACAAAUUCCAAGAAGAAGAAUGAAAAUUCCUAAUAAGUUCCUUCCAAAGAAAUCGGUACUCGGUAGUUUCCCCAAUACACAUGUAACCCAGAUACGCUAACCUAAAGCUGCAUUAGAACUCAAAAAUCAUACCGAGUUCUCCCACUCAUUA